rnacentral:lncRNA from 1 species
CAAACAUUUGGAGUUGCGUACCCUUUAAGGACUCUAGCUAGUGGGGAACACGAUCGAUGACCUCAUCAGCAAAGUAAUAGCAAGACCCACAAACAGAUUAAUCAGUCGUCUGAUUCUCCGGUAGCAGAAGCCGUCGCCGAUCACCGCUGUAAACUUAUUCUGUCGCCAUAGCUACAAUCUAAGAUAGUAUUUUGUCAGCUUACUAAGGAGAAUGUAUUUUUGGAAAAAGUAAAAAUAAAAUAGGAUAGAGCUCGCAUCUGACAACUGGUCUCUUCACUUCUUCCUGGCUUCACACAUGUCGUCAUUCUUAUCCAUUUGAAGCUCCACUUCCCACACAGAGUCACACAGUCCAAUCUAUCCUAAACAGGCAUACGACAAAGUCUUGAGUAACGCGAUCUUUUAGCUAAAGUUUC